GACGAACGCUGGCGGCGUGCUUAACACAUGCAAGUCGAACGGAAAGGCCCUGCUUUUGUGGGGUGCUCGAGUGGCGAACGGGUGAGUAACACGUGAGUAUCCUGCCCUUGACUUUGGGAUAACUUCAGGAAACUGGGGCGAAUACCGGAUAGGAGCUCCUGCUGCAUGGGGGGGGUUGGAAAGUUUCGGCGGUUGGGGAUGGACUCGCGGCUUAUCAGCCUGUUGGUGGGGUAGUGGCUUACCAAGGCUUCGACGGGUAGCCGGCCUGAGAGGGUGACCGGCCACAUUGGGACUGAGAUACGGCCCAGACUCGUACGGGAGGCAGCAGUGGGGAAUAUUGCAGAAUGGGCGGAAGCCGGAUGCAGAAACGCCGCGUGUGGGAUGACGGCCUUCGGGUUGGAAACCGAUUUCGCCUGUGACGAAGCGUGAGUGACGGUAAUGGAUAAAGAAGCACCGGCUAACUACGUG
rnacentral:rRNA from 1 species